rnacentral:lncRNA from 1 species
CAAAACUCACUAAUAGAAAAAUGAUAAGAAAGAGAGGACCUACAUUAUUUGAAUUACUCCAUAAUGACAAGGAUAAAAUAGAGAGAAAUAAAAAAGCUGGAGUAUAUGAUAUUCCAAUUCAUAAUAAUGAUGAAGGAAAAGUUCAGCACUACAUUGGUAGUAUAACGAGAGGGUUAAGCGUGAGAAUUAAAGAACAUAAAGAGGAUAUUAGGAUGGAAACUUAGCACAGCGUUGGCUAUAAAAACAUACGAAAGUAAUGUAGAUAUAAAGUGGAACAAUGCAAAGGUUAUAAAGCCAUUACGAGAUGUUAAAGGAAUCGCUACUGUAGAGAGUAUCCAGAUUGAGAAAAGGAAACAGGCAUGUGAUGUCAUUAACGCUAAUGAGCCACUAAUAUUACCGAUG